GGCAGGCUUAACACAUGCAAGUCGAGCGGUAGCACAGGGGAGCUUGCUCCCUGGGUGACGAGCGGCGGACGGGUGAGUAAUGUCUGGGAAACUGCCUGAUGGAGGGGGAUAACUACUGGAAACGGUAGCUAAUACCGCAUAACGUCGCAAGACCAAAGAGGGGGACCUUCGGGCCUCUUGCCAUCAGAUGUGCCCAGAUGGGAUUAGCUAGUAGGUGGGGUAAUGGCUCACCUAGGCGACGAUCCCUAGCUGGUCUGAGAGGAUGACCAGCCACACUGGAACUGAGACACGGUCCAGACUCCUACGGGAGGCAGCAGUGGGGAAUAUUGCACAAUGGGCGCAAGCCUGAUGCAGCCAUGCCGCGUGUGUGAAGAAGGCCUUCGGGUUGUAAAGCACUUUCAGCGAGGAGGAAGGUGGUGAGCUUAAUACGCUCAUCAAUUGACGUUACUCGCAGAAGAAGCACCGGCUAACUCCGUGCCAGCAGCCGCGGUAAUACGGAGGGUGCAAGCGUUAAUCGGAAUUACUGGGCGUAAAGCGCACGCAGGCGGUUUGUUAAGUCAGAUGUGAAAUCCCCGGGCUCAACCUGGGAACUGCAUUUGAGACUGGCAAGCUAGAGUCUCGUAGAGGGGGGUAGAAUUCCAGGUGUAGCGGUGAAAUGCGUAGAGAUCUGGAGGAAUACCGGUGGCGAAGGCGGCCCCCUGGACGAAGACUGACGCUCAGGUGCGAAAGCGUGGGGAGCAAACAGGAUUAGAUACCCUGGUAGUCCACGCUGUAAACGAUGUCGAUUUGGAGGUUGUGCCCUUGAGGCGUGGCUUCCGGAGCUAACGCGUUAAAUCGACCGCCUGGGGAGUACGGCCGCAAGGUUAAAACUCAAAUGAAUUGACGGGGGCCCGCACAAGCGGUGGAGCAUGUGGUUUAAUUCGAUGCAACGCGAAGAACCUUACCUACUCUUGACAUCCAGAGAACUUAGCAGAGAUGCUUUGGUGCCUUCGGGAACUCUGAGACAGGUGCUGCAUGGCUGUCGUCAGCUCGUGUUGUGAAAUGUUGGGUUAAGUCCCGCAACGAGCGCAACCCUUAUCCUUUGUUGCCAGCGGUUCGGCCGGGAACUCAAAGGAGACUGCCAGUGAUAAACUGGAGGAAGGUGGGGAUGGCGUCAAGUCAUCAUGGCCCUUACGAGUAGGGCUACACACGUGCUACAAUGGCGUAUACAAAGAGAAGCGACCUCGCGAGAGCAAGCGGACCUCAUAAAGUACGUCGUAGUCCGGAUUGGAGUCUGCAACUCGACUCCAUGAAGUCGGAAUCGCUAGUAAUCGUAGAUCAGAAUGCUACGGUGAAUACGUUCCCGGGCCUUGUACACACCGCCCGUCACACCAUGGGAGUGGGUUGCAAAAGAAGUAGGUAGCUUAACCUUCGGGAGGGCGCUUACCACUUUGUGAUUC
rnacentral:rRNA from 1 species